rnacentral:rRNA from 1 species
GACGAACGCUGGCGGCGUGCUUAACACAUGCAAGUCGAACGAUGAAGCUGGAGCUUGCUCCGGUGGAUUGGUGGCGUACGGGUGAGUAACACGUGAGCAAUCUGCCCUUGACUCUGGGAUAACUGCGGGAAACUGUAGCUAAUACCGGAUACUUUCACUGGAAGGCAUCUUCUGGUGAAGAAAGAAUUUCGGUCAAGGAUGAGCUCGCGGCCUAUCAGCUUGUUGGUGAGGUAACGGCUCACCAAGGCGACGACGGGUAGCCGGCCUGAGAGGGUGACCGGCCACACUGGGACUGAGACACGGCCCAGACUCCUACGGGAGGCAGCAGUGGGGAAUAUUGCACAAUGGGCGCAAGCCUGAUGCAGCAACGCCGCGUGAGGGAUGACGGCCUUCGGGUUGUAAACCUCUUUUAGUAGGGAAGAAGCGAAAGUGACGGUACCUGCAGAAAAAGCACCGGCUAACUACGUGCCAGCCGCCGCCGUAA